rnacentral:rRNA from 1 species
CCUACGGGUGGCAGCAGUGAGGAAUAUUGGUCAAUGGCCGGAAGUCUGAACCAGCCAAGCCGCGUGAAGGACGACGGUGCCAAGCGUUGUAAACUUCUUUUGUCAAGGGACAAAAUCAGGCUCGAGAGCCUGACCGAGGGUACUUGAAGAAAAAGCAUCGGCUAACUCCGUGCCAGCAGCCGCGGUAAUACGGAGGAUGCGAGCGUUAUCCGGAUUUAUUGGGUUUAAAGGGUGCGUAGGCGGACUGUUAAGUCAGGGGUAAAAGCCCGGGGCCAAACCCAGAAGAGCCGUUGAAACUGGCUGUCUUGAGAUGAGGAGAGGUAGGCGGAAUGCGUAGUGUAGCGGUGAAAUGCUUAGAUAUUGCGCAGAACUCCGAUUGCGAAGGCAGCAUACCGG